rnacentral:rRNA from 1 species
GAUGAACGCUGGCGGCGUGCCUAAUACAUGCAAGUCGAGCGAACAGACGAGGAGCUUGCUCCUCUGACGUUAGCGGCGGACGGGUGAGUAACACGUGGAUAACCUACCUAUAAGACUGGGAUAACUUCGGGAAACCGGAGCUAAUACCGGAUAAUAUAUUGAACCGCAUGGUUCAAUAGUGAAAGACGGUUUUGCUGUCACUUAUAGAUGGAUCCGCGCCGCAUUAGCUAGUUGGUAAGGUAACGGCUUACCAAGGCAACGAUGCGUAGCCGAACUGAGAGGGUGAUCGGCCACACUGGAACGGAGACACGGUCCAGACUCCUACGGGAGGCAGCAGUAGGGAAUCUUACGCAGUGGGCGAAAGCCUGACGGAGCAACGCCGCGUGAGUGAUGAAGGUCUUCGGAUCGUAAAACUCUGUUAUUGGGGAAGAACAGAUGUGUAAGUAACUAUGCACGUCUUGACGGUACCUGGUCAAAAAGCCACGGCUAACUACGUG